AUUGAACGCUGGCGGCAGGCCUAACACAUGCAAGUCGAGCGGAGCGGCGGACGGGUGAGUAAUGCCUAGGACUCUGACUGGUAGUGGGGGAGAACGUCCGGAAACGGGAGCUAACACCGAAUACUAUCAGAAGCGCGUGGGCCGGAUUAGCAAGUUGGUGGGGUAAAGGCCUACCAAGGCGAAGGUCCAUAACUGGUCUGAGAGGAUGAUCAGUCACACGGGAACUGAGACACGGUCCAGACUCCUACGGGAGGCAGCAGUGGGGAAUAUUGGACAAUGGGCGCAAGCCUGAUCCAGCCAUGCCGCGUGUGUGAAGAAGGUCUUCGGAUUGUAAAGCACUUUAAGUUGGGAGGCGUUACCAACAGAAUAAGCACCGGCUAACUCCGUGCCAGCAGCCGCGGUAAUUC
rnacentral:rRNA from 1 species